GCUGUGCCUGAUGACGAGCUCACCUUCCUGACUCACUGUGAGCGCCCGCCCUACCAGCCCUGCUGAUGCCGGAGCACAGUUGCAAACUGUGAUGCCGACGUCCAUCCCCUGGCUUUCUUGGUGGACCUGCCCAACUCCUGGAACCCAGAAGUGGAGCCUACAGGACCCGAAUCCACAAAGUACUGAUGGCUGGGAGGGGUGACGUCACCUCAGACCCUGUGCCCCAAUGCAAUGACUCUCCCCUGGCUGCUGGCUUCUGCUGCCUGCAGACUCCUGAGGCAGUGGCCCUGGGUGUGGUUCCAGCAUCCAUAUUUCACUAAAAGAGCCCCUGAUGACUGUGGUAGGGCUGAGAGCCACUGCAGGGCUUUCAAAGACACCUCUGUCAUGAGCUCUGGACACCACUCAAAAAGGUUCUGAUUUGAGAACAUUUUGGAUUUCAAAUUGUCGGAUUAGUGAUGCUCAACCUGUAUUGACUUCAAGUGUUAAGGCCCCAAAUAGAAGAUCCAUUUUUUUGAAUCAACCUUACAUGGCAUUUCUUUUUUAAGCAGUGAUUCACAAAACUACUUCGGUCAAUGAGAGACUGUCGAGCUAAAAGAAAACCGCAGAGCCUUAGGGCUAGGCGGCCUGGCAGGCACACAUGACAGUGCGCUAUCCUGAAUGUGACUUGGCUUGGAGAUUCCAUCAGCAUAGAUAGAGCGGUGGCCCUAUGCCAAAAUGAGCACUCCACUUAGUUAUUCAGGGGAAACUCCGGGAUAUACUCAGGCCUUGAAAUGAGGCAGAAGCUUGCAAGGUUUCAGGCUGCGUUCAAACUUCCCCUGCCAGCCAGCCAUGUUGGAAGCAUCAAGCAUCAAAGCCUCAUGAGUCAGCAUUUGGAGAGGGAGAUCAGCCAGGCUAAAUUUGGAGAUUUUUGACUCAGCCAUCAGUGAAAUUCAGCAGUUCCUCCUGAAGCUUUUGGUGACCUUUUGGUUUCAUCCAAGCUCAAAUACCAAAGGCACCGUGAAAGUGGAUGGAAUUAUAAACCCUUGCGUGAAGAUUGUGCAGCUGGCGUUCUGAGAUCAGUUCAUCCACCACAGAGCUAAACACAUCUCUGUGCCUCUAGCUUUUCCUUUCCUGUGAAGGGGGAGGGACAAGAGGUGGAGGCAAACAAACAGGAGGUGGCGAGGAGAUGCCCCUCGCCAUGCCUGGUGCAGAAUGCGGAAGGCACCCAUCUGGACCUCACCAGCGCCGGCGCCCAGUAGCUCUCUCCCACCAGCUCUCCACAGAGCUCAGAAGGGCCCACGUCCAUGCGUCCUCCAACACAGCCUUGGGUAUUGCCAACUGAGCCUUUAAGCGAGUGUUCGGUUGACACUAAGUGCUUUUUGCUCUCAGCACAAUUAUGUAUUUCUGAAUAACACUCGAAGCAUCCUUUGAAUGUGAAAAUGGGUUAGAUCAAAACGUCAAAGUGCACUUCUGUCCGCAAUGAUCCUUUUUAAUGCAUCUGUGGUUUCUCACAUUAAGAGAAAAUGUGAAUUUCGCUGUGUGCUUUUAUGUGUCUACUCUGUGACUUGUUUUUCCAGGCUAUACUUAUAAACAGAAACAAUAGAAGAACAUAAAAUAUGAAUACAGUAUCCAUAUUAAAGUAUAAUAAGCAUU